rnacentral:rRNA from 1 species
GAUGAACGCUAGCGGCAGGCCUAAUACAUACAAGUCGAACGGUGUCUUCGGACAUAGUGGCGCACGGGUGCGUAACACGUAUGCAACCUACCUUACAUUGGGGGAUAGCCUUUCGAAAGGGAGAUUAAUACCGCAUAAGACAGUAGCUGGGCAUCCAGCAGCUGUUAAAGAUUUAUCGAUGUAAGCUGGGCAUGCGUCCAAUUAGCUAGUUGGUGAGGUAACGGCUCACCAAGGCAAUGAUUGGUAGGGGAACUGAGAGGUCAAUCCCCCACACUGGCACUGAGAAACGGGCCAGACUCCUACGGGAGGCAGCAGUAGGGAAUAUUGGGCAAUGGACGCAAGUCUGACCCAGCCAUGCCGCGUGCAGGAUGAAGGCGUUAUGCGUUGUAAACUGCUUUUAUACAGGAAGAAACGACUCUUGCGAGAGGCAUUGACGGUACUGUAUGAAUAAGCACCGGCUAACUCCGUGCCAGCAGCCGCGGUAACAC